AGUCCGUUCUGCCAGGACCAGAAGUGUUCAGAAAUGGUGUGUUCGAGCAGGAGCUGCACCACACCUCCUGAACUGCAGGGCAGCAUAAGGCAGCUGGAGCUUCUACAUCCAGCAUUUUGUGUACGAGUGAAAAGUCUCCUUGGAUAAUUAAGACUGUGUCUAAAGUCACAGUUACAGUAUGCUGAUCUAUAAGGAAACUCAGGUCUAAUGGACAGGCCCAUCCCAGAGGAGGCCACAUCCUCGUUCAUGGCACACGUCUUUGUCCCCUGCUCUGAGCUGCCUUCAGAGGACACCAACUGCUCUCCGCUGUCUGCCCAGGAAGUUGAAAAGGAGGAGCCUCUCAGGCCAGGUCAGGAGUGACGUUUUGUGGCACGUGAUUACUGAACAUCCAUCCGUGUAUUUCUGUGAGGAAACUUCACUGGGACAAUAUAAACAUCUGCUUAAAGCUCAAGUAUUGUAUCAAACAGGGACAACAGCAACACACCUUGGAAUGGGCAGUCAGAGAGCCAGUCCCUCACGUGUGCUGCUGCUGCAGAUGGAGUCACAGCAAUACAGAGGCUGCAAGAGGCUCAGCAGCUGCACAGGGAUUUACAAAGCCAGGAAUGAAGAUGAGCAUAGAGAGAAACUGGAUAUUGAAAUUUAAAAAUUUAGCAAAAUUGGGUGUCUGUAGCACUGUAUUCUCCAGUAUCUUUGGAGAACACAACUGUGCCAAAUAAUGUCAUCUCCAGUGUGUCACUUGGAACAGCAGCAAAGACACUUCCAGCUCUUCCUUUGUUAAAGAAGCUCCCUCAGCCUUUGCAUUCCCCACCAUCUCCUUGGGAUCGAGUCCCCGGCGUCAGACCCUGCCCUCCUGUCAACAUCGAGCAGCAAAUCUCUGAGCAGCAAAAGAAGAUCCACAUGAACAUC